rnacentral:rRNA from 1 species
UCGGGAAUUUUGGGCAAUGGGCGAAAGCCUGAUCCAGCAAUGCCGCGUGAGUGAAGAAGGCCUUCGGGUUGUAAAGCUCUUUUGUCAGGGAAGAAACGGUGAGAGCUAAUAUCUCUUGCUAAUGACGGUACCUGAAGAAUAAGCACCGGCUAACUACGUGCCAGCAGCCGCGGUAAUACGUAGGGUGCAAGCGUUAAUCGGAAUUACUGGGCGUAAAGCGUGCGCAGGCGGUUUUGUAAGUCUGAUGUGAAAUCCCCGGGCUCAACCUGGGAAUUGCAUUGGAGACUGCAAGGCUAGAAUCUGGCAGAGGGGGGUAGAAUUCCACGUGUAGCAGUGAAAUGCGUAGAUAUGUGGAGGAACACCGAUGGCGAAGGCAGCCCCCUGGGUCAAGAUUGACGCUCAUGCACGAAAGCGUGGGGAGCAAACAGGAUUAGAUACCCUUGUAGUCCCUGAGCGGGCUGGCAAGGCG